GAAAGAAAGAAAAAAGCUUUACCUCUUUGUUAAUAAAUAUAAUAAAUCCUUCUCAUCCUAAAUCAAGUCAACCUUUGUCUUUAAUCAGGUGUUAAAAGGAAAUCACCUAAAAUCAAAAAACAGGAGGGCCUUUUUGUUGAGAAUUUGCUAUUUCACAUUUGUGAUUUUAGUUCAUCGCAAUCACCAUUUUAUAAAAAUAGAGUCAGAUGAAUUUACUAUCACAAAACUAAUAAGUAUACUAUCUAGUAUUCUCAAAUCUAACUCCAAAAACCCAAGUUCUUUCUGCUAUGUCUCUAUGCAAACUUUUACAUAAACUGAGAAUGCUGCCAAUCAUUUUACUUCCAAAGACAGAUGUCAAGCUAGCCACCAAAAGCCUGAUGUGGGAAUAUCAUUGUAAUCUCUUAACUAGAAAAAACACCCCGCUCUGAAGAGGCCAUCAUUUUUUUAUUCGGAUAAUAAUUCAAACUUCAUGAUUUUCUGAAAAUACAUUCUCAAGAUGAAUUUUUGAGAAAAGUCUCAAAAAUGUUCAUUGUUAUUUUUGCCUGCUCCAAUUGACAGAACUGUUCUAUAUGGGGAAAAAAGAGAAUGAAACUAUUUAGUUUUUAUUUAGACCUACACGAUACUACUCCCUACUUAAAACCUACCUAGUGGCAGCUUCACAGACGAAAGCAAAGGCCAGGCAAAGAGAUUACAAUUACGGAGCAGGACAAAUCCUGAGUUUAAGGAAAAGAAAAAUGCAUCAGAUGAAGCC
rnacentral:lncRNA from 1 species